GACGAACGCUGGCGGCGUGCCUAAUACAUGCAAGUUGAGCGCUGAAGGUUGGUACUUGUACCAACUGGAUGAGCAGCGAACGGGUGAGUAACGCGUGGGGAAUCUGCCUUUGAGCGGGGGACAACAUUUGGAAACGAAUGCUAAUACCGCAUAAAAACUUUAAACACAAGUUUUAAGUUUGAAAGAUGCAAUUGCAUCACUCAAAGAUGAUCCCGCGUUGUAUUAGCUAGUUGGUGAGGUAAAGGCUCACCAAGGCGAUGAUACAUAGCCGACCUGAGAGGGUGAUCGGCCACAGUGGGACUGAGACACGGCCCAAACUCCUACGGGAGGCAGCAGUAGGGAAUCUUCGGCAAUGGACGAAAGUCUGACCGAGCAACGCCGCGUGAGUGAAGAAGGGUUUCGGAUCGGAAAACUCUGUUGGUAGAGAAGAACGUUGGUGAGAGUGGAAAGCUCAUCAAGUGACGGUAACUACCCAGAAAGGGACGGCUAACUACGUG
rnacentral:rRNA from 1 species